CCUGCCGCCACCACCCAGCUUGUUUUUAGACAAGAUCCAGCCCUACCCCACUGAAUCAACACCCUCCAGGACUGCAAGCGGGUGCUGCAGCUCCCACCAGCACGGAUUUAGAACAAGUGAAGACAAGCAAAUUGAUGUUGUACAGCAGCACGGAAAUGGCACCUUACUGCACUGAAAAGGAGAGCGCAAGGGAGGAGGCAGGAAACACGUCGAGCGACACUGGACUAGGACAGCAUACAAGUGAAGCAAGAAAAGGAGGAUGGCAGAGAAUUCAUUUCACACUUAGAAGAUAAAGAGACCAUAAAUGUACCUCGGCAGAGCUGCCCCAGUCUGCAGGACCGCAGCGUGCUGGUCUUCUCCACCAUCCCCAGUGCAAGCUGCUCAGCUGAAAAGCAGCAGCGGAGGCAGUCUGCCCCAACCAGC